rnacentral:lncRNA from 1 species
UGUAUAACGUAUACGUGACGCAUUAUUAUGAAAACGACUAUGAUGCAGGUUUAUUUCGUUGAUUUGAAGAUGCAGUUUUUUGAGGAUAUAUGCGUGUUGCUGAAGAAGCUGGAGCUAGGUAUGUUGGAGUUUGUCUAUUGUGAUAUACAAUGUGGGAUAGUUGAGUUUGGAAAAGAAAAAGGGAAUAUAUUUAAAGACGAAUGAAUGUUUUCCAUUAAUAAAAAAAAAAAAUUGUUUGAAGAGGAAGUUCGUCAUUAUAUUAUAUAUAUAUAUAUAUAUAUAUUUUUGGUUAGACUGCAUCUGAAAAAUUUAGAUAACAAGUUCUGGUUUGGUAUAUACUAAUAUGUGCUGUGCGAGAAAAGAAAAAGACCUUCGAAAAC